CUUCCGGUGUCAACAACAUGGCGAAGUUCUUUAAUCUCCUCUGUCAUUUCCACCUUCUCUCCACAACAUUGCCUUAAUGCACUGGAUGGAAGAGGAUCAAAGAUCAAUAUCCAGACCAGAUGAGGCCUGUCUCUCAGUCUGCACUCUCCUGUCCCAAACCCACUGAAGCCUUUCAUGUUUCUACACUUUGGCUCCACAGAUGCCUGGACGUACUGGAAAGAAAAUGAACUACAGUGUUUUCCAGUGGAUCUGGAAACAUUGGAGAGGACAGUGACAUCAAAAUGUAUUUAGCCUGACACUUUCAUGAGCAAUAUGCAACAGACAUGUGCUGCUUUUUGAUAUACAAACUGUACAAUCUCAUUGUCAUGCAACAGAUCUUCUUUAUCACAUUUUUGCAGUGAAAAUAUCACAUACACAAGAACAGUUUCUUCAACGUAAAAGUUUACAAAAAACUACACACAACUCACAGGCUGAAACGACUCUGUUUCAUUAUUGUGAUUGAACUCGUCAUUACAAAAAAAGUUUGUGUCAGACACAGCAAUUGACAACAGUGCAUUGUAAGCUUGGUGACAGUUUGAUUAAAAAAACUUUUAAUCAAAUAUUCCUGAGGUUUAUGCAUUUUCUGUGCAACCCGUUGUUCCUUAAGGCUUCACUUGCUUCAAAGUUUUUAUGGCGUUCAUCAGGGUAUUGAUUACCAGCAGGUGAUUUGUUUAUUAGUGUUUAAAAUCGCUGCAUCUUUUUUCUGGAAAAUCUAAAACUAAAAGCACCUGUCAUGGUCCACUCAUUUCAGAAAUAUUGCACACCUUCAUCCAUUAAAACAAGACAGUAUCAAAAUCUUACUGACUGAAA